rnacentral:misc_RNA from 1 species
GGUCACAUGACCCAGCUCUGUGUGUGGACAUCCAGUCCUAGACACUGAGGCCAUUCAUUGGACAGUUAUUCCCAGACCAAUCGAUAACCCAUAUAGGGUGGUUGUUACCGAGAAAAUACUCAUUUUUAUAAGAUGUAUCAAACUGUGUUGUUAUUUAUAACUGUUUACAGUGCAUCACAAAGUAUUCCAAAGAAGUAUUGUAUACACUACAUAUUUUGUUAAAUAAUGUACACAUUGUGUUGGUUUAUGUUUAUCACUAAGUGACACUACUUAAUUGUAGACAGUUGUUGAAAUCAUUGAUUGAUAAUCUCUUUUUUUACUAUGUAAUUAUCUAUCAUUGAUUGAUAAUAUGCAAUUGAAUAUCAUUGAUUGAUAUCCUUUUUGUAAUAUGUAAUUAUAUAUCAUUGAUAUAAUAUGAACAAAUUCCUCUAUUUCUGAGCUGUUUUUUUUUGUUUAAUACAUAUCAAAUGGUUGGUCAUGAUUAAUGACGCUUUGUCUUAACUCCGGUGAUAGAAAACAAAAAUUAUCAUGAGCUGAAUCAAAAUCACAUCACAAAUCAUGGGUUAUUCUAUCAAUCAUGCAGCAGUUUAGGUUCUUUACCUUUGUUUCCAGUCUGAAGCAAAGACUGGCAUGGUCAGAUUGAGAGGUCAUGGUCUGAUAGAGAGGUCAUGGUCAGAUAGAGAGGUCAAGGUCAGGCUUCUAUAGAGAGCCCCUGCUUAUAACAGGUCACUAGGAAAUUAGGUGACCUACAUAACAAAAAGCUACAGCCUGUUUAAGUCUUCUCAACAAUUUUAUUGAGUAAAUCCCUAUGUAAAAUAAAAACCAAUAAACAAAAACAAUGUAAGAACAACAGAAUUAAUGUAACAGCAAUUAUGUUAGCACCAAAGUGACCCAGUCAUGACAGACUUGUCUCCCCGCAUCUCCGACAAGCUUAGGUGCCACAGCGGGGGAAUACACACCAUUUACCAAUUCAUCUCCUCUAAUCUAUUUCAUUAAUUCAUUUUUAAUAUAGGUUUUAUUUCACUUAAUUGAUAAGACUAGUCAACAGACUUAUUUAUACUCCCUGGUUGUCAUCUCAUCAUAUUGUAAAUGUAUUUUGAUUAUCAUGUGAUUUUAAUAAUGAAAUAAAAAAGUGUCACUUU